GACGAACGCUGGCGGCGUGCUUAACACAUGCAAGUCGAACGGAAAGGCCUGCCUUCCCUUGUGGAUUGCGGGUACUCGAGUGGCGAACGGGUGAGUAACACGUGAGUGAUCUGCCCCCAACUUGGGUAUAAGCCUGGGAAACUGGGUCUAAUUCCCGAUAGGACUGCAGGGUGGUGCCUGUGGUGGAAAACGAUUUUCUAGUGGUUGGGGAUGAGCUCGCGGCCUAUCAGCUUGUUGGUGGGGUAAUGGCCUACCAAGGCGGCGACGGGUAGCCGGCCUGAGAGGGUGGACGGCCCCAUUGGGACUGAGAUACGGCCCAGACUCCUACGGGAGGCAGCAGUGGGGAAUAUUGCACAAUGGGCGGAAGCCUGAUGCAGCGACGCCGCGUGGGGGAUGACGGCCUUCGGGUUGUAAACUCCUUUCGACCGCGAGGAAGCCACCUGGUUGGAAGGGUGGUGACGGUAGUGGUAGAAGAAGCACCGGCUAACUACGUG
rnacentral:rRNA from 1 species